ACGGAGGGUGCAAGCGUUAUCCGGAUUCACUGGGUUUAAAGGGAGCGCAGGCGGGCAUGUAAGUCCGUGGUGAAAUACCUCAGCUUAACUGAGGAACUGCCAUGGAUACUAUAUGUCUUGAAUGUUGUGGAGGUUUGCGGAAUAGGUCAUGUAGCGGUGAAAUGCAUAGAUAUGACCUAGAACACCAAUUGCGAAGGCAGCAGGCUACACAAAUAUUGACGCUGAGGCUCGAAAGCGUGGGGAUCAAACAGGAUUAGAUACCCUGGUAGUCCACGCCCUAAACGAUGAUUACUCGACAUACGUGAUACACAAUGUGUGUCUGAGCGAAAGCAUUAAGUAAUCCACCUGGGAAGUACGACCGCAAGGUUG
rnacentral:rRNA from 1 species